AUUGAACGCUGGCGGCAUGCCUUACACAUGCAAGUCGAACGGUAACGGGCCUUCGGGUGCCGACGAGUGGCGAACGGGUGAGUAAUGCAUCGGAACGUACCUUUCAGUGGGGGAUAACGUAGCGAAAGUUACGCUAAUACCGCAUAUUCUGUGAGCAGGAAAGCAGGGGAUCGCAAGACCUUGCGCUGAUUGAGCGGCCGAUGUCAGAUUAGCUAGUUGGUGAGGUAAAGGCUCACCAAGGCGACGAUCUGUAGCGGGUCUGAGAGGAUGAUCCGCCACACUGGAACUGAGACACGGUCCAGACUCCUACUGGAGGCAGCGGUGGGGAAUUUUGGACAAUGGGGGCAACCCUGAUCCAGCCAUGCCGCGUGAGUGAAGAAGGCCUUCGGGUUGUAAAGCUCUUUCGGCCGGGAAGAAAUCGUAUGGGCUAAUACCCUGUGCGGAUGACGGUACCGGCAUAAGAAGCACCGGCUAACUACGUGCCAGCCGCCGCAGUAAUAC
rnacentral:rRNA from 1 species